AUUGAACGCUGGCGGCAUGCCUUACACAUGCAAGUCGAACGGUAACGGGCCUUCGGGUGCCGACGAGUGGCGAACGGGUGAGUAAUGUAUCGGAACGUACCUUUCAGUGGGGGAUAACGUAGCGAAAGUUACGCUAAUACCGCAUAUUCUGUGAGCAGGAAAGCAGGGGAUCGCAAGACCUUGCGCUGAUUGAGCGGCCGAUAUCAGAUUAGCUAGUUGGUGAGGUAAAGGCUCACCAAGGAGACGAUCUGUAGCGGGUCUGAGAGGAUGAUCCGCGACUCUGGAACUGAGACACGGUCCAGACUCCUACGGGAUUCAGCAGUGGGGAAUUUUGGACAAUGGGGGCAACCCUGAUCCAGCCAUGCCGCGUGAGUGAAGAAUGCCUUCGGGUUGUAAAGCUCUUUCGGCCGGGAAGAAAUCGUAUCAGCUAAUACCUUGUGCGGAUGACGGUACCGGCAUAAGAAGCACCGGCUAACUACGUGCCAGCCGCCGCGGUAAAAC
rnacentral:rRNA from 1 species